rnacentral:rRNA from 1 species
CAAAGCUGGCGGCGUGGAAUAGAACAUGCAACUCGAACGAAAACUUUCUCUGUAGCAAUACAUCGGAAGUUUUAGUGGCGAACGGGUGCGUAACACGUGGGCAAUCUGCCGAAAAGUGGGGGAUAGCUCGCCGAAAGGCGAAUUAAUACCGCAUGUGGUGAGGGAAGACAUCUUCCUGAAUCCAAAGCCGGGGCAACCUGGCGCUUUUUGAGGAGCCCGCGGCCUAUCAGCUAGUUGGUGAGGUAACGGCUCACCAAGGCUUUGACGGGUAGCUGGUCUGAGAGGACGACCAGUCACACUGGAACUGAGACACGGUCCAGACACCUACUGGUGGCAGCAGUCGAGAAUUUUUCUCAAUGGGGGAAACCCUGAAGGAGCGACGCCCCGUGAACGAUGAAGGCUUUCGGGUUGUAAACUCCUGUCAUUUGGGAACACAGUGCACACGUUAACUGCGUGGGCAUUGAUAGUACCAGAAGAGGGAAUGGGACGGGCUAACUCUGUGCCAGCAGCCGCGGUUAAUACAGAGGUCCCCAGCGUUGUUUCGGAUACAUUGGGGCAGUAAAAGGGUGCGUAAGCCGGCGCCGGAAAAUCGGGUGUGAAA